ACAUGCUUACAACAUAGCGUUAAUGCAUCAGAUCUCAUUAGAACUUCACAGUUAAGCGUGCUCGAGAUAGAGUAGUAAUGGGAUGGGUGACCACCUGGGAAGUUAUACUAUUUUACAUGCC
rnacentral:rRNA from 1 species